rnacentral:lncRNA from 1 species
CUUGCCACGAAGCACAGAGGUUGACACACAAGGACUUUCCAAUUAUCCAGCAGUGGUACUGUUCCUUUACCCUCUCUUCGAUUUUUGAGAAAGUAAUCAUGUUGGGAGUCUGGCUCUCGAGAUUCGGAGGGCGGUGCCUCUUCGAUUUUGGAGCAAGCAAUCUUGUUGGGAGUGUUUUCUCGAAUGUGAGUAAAGGUUGGGCAUGUUUGCUAGUCUACCUUGCCACGAAGCACACAAAGGUUGACACACAGGGACUUUCCAAUUAUCCAGCAGUGGUACUGUUCCUUUACCAUCUCUUCGAUUUUUGAGAAAGUAAUCAUGUUGGGAGUCUGGCUCUCGAGAUUCGGAAGGCGGUGCCUCUUCGAUUUUGGAGCAAGCAAUCCUAUUGGGAGUGUUUUCUUGAAUGUGAGUAAAGGUUGGCAUGUUUGCUAGUCUACCUUGCCACGAAGCACAGAGGUUCACACACCGGGACUUUCCAAUUAUCCAGCAGUGGUACUGUUCCUUUACCCUUGUGGGUAAUAAUAUGGUAGCCAGACCUUCAAAAUUUAUGUUUCUAAACUUUGUUAGUGUUG